AAAUCUACUGUUUUAUCCAAUAAAAUUAGAAUAAUACAGUGAAGAUUACCACAGCCUUUGCACGACGAUGACACACACAGAUUGAAAAAUGGACCUCACAAGU